ACGUAAGGAUCCGAAUGGUGAAAGAUUUUUAUUUUUAAUUAUAUUUUAUAGUUAAAUGGUUGGUUUUAGUCCUAUGUUUGCUUU
rnacentral:tRNA from 1 species